rnacentral:rRNA from 1 species
UAGGGAAUCUUCGGCAAUGGACGAAAGCCUGACCGAGCAACGCCGCGUGAGUGAAGAAGGUUUUCGGAUCGUAAAACUCUGUUGUUAGAGAAGAACAAGGACGUUAGUAACUGAAUGUCACCUGACGGUAUCUAACCAAAAAGCCACGGCUAACUACGUGCCAGCAGCCGCGGUAAUACGUAGGUGGCAAGCGUUGUCCGGAAUUAUUGGGCGUAAAGCGAGCGCAGGCGGUUUGUUAAGUCAGAUGUGAAAGCCCCCGGCUCAACCGGGGAAGUGCAUUGGAAACUGGGAGACUAGAGUGCAGAAGAGGGGGGUAGAAUUCCAGGUGUAGCGGUGAAAUGCGUAGAUAUAUGGAGGAACACCGGUGGCGAAGGCGGCCCUCUGGUCUGUUACUGACGCUGAGGCGCGAAAGCGUGGGGAGCAAACAGG